rnacentral:lncRNA from 1 species
CUGGAGUACAGUGGCAUGAACAUAGCUCACUGCAGCCUUGACCUCCUGACUGAAGCAAUCCUUCUGCCUCAGCCUCCAGAGUAGCUGGGACGACAGGCAUGCACCACCACACCCUACUAAUCUUUUAAUUUUUUGUAGAGACAGGAUCUCCCUAUGUUGCCCAAGCUGGUCUCAAACUCCUGGACUCAAGCAAGCCUCCUACCUCGGCCUCCUGAAGUGUUGGGAUUACAGGCAUGAGCCACGGUGCACAGCAAGAGCUUUAACCUUAAUGACCAUUCAUUCUCUACCCCACAUUACCUACAACUGAUACAGAUUGGGUUUUUCUGGUACCUCUACCUGGAAGGAGAUGAGAGGGCAGAUCUUUCAACAUAAUAAUUCCCCAAAGAUCUACAAGAACCUAUUCAUAUUAUUAAGAUUAACCCUGUGAAGUGGGCAUUAUAAUGAUCCACAAUUUCCAUGAGGGAGUUGAAGCCCAAUGGAGUUGAGCAACUUGCUGAAGGUCACACAGCUCAUGAACAGAAUGAAGUGCAGAGGAGACAAGCACAUUUGCUUAAAUGGCACUGCUUGCUGGAGAUGGAGCAGGAGCUAGAAGCCAAGUCUCUGCUAUCAAGCCCCUGCUUUCUUGCUGCCACCCCCGCCCCACCCCUCUCCUACCCACAGUCCUCUCUGGCUGUGCUUUGCUGACCCUACACAUUCUUUGGGUUUCAUUCUGGAUCCUUCUAGGCUAGGUUAGCAGCCCCAACCCCAACCUUUGUGUCUUCCCCUGUGAAGCUGGUAUUGUAAAUAUAUUGCAACUAUCAAUUUCUUCAUCUAGGCCAGGUGAACUACUGGCUCAUGCCUGUAAUCCCAGCACUUUGGGAGGCCGAGGUAGGAGGAUGGUUUGAGGCCAGGAGUUUGAGACCAGUCUGGGCAGGAUAGUGAGACCCCACCUCUAAAAAAUAAAAAAAGAAAAUCAUCUUCAUCUAAGCCAUGAGCCACACACAACCAAGGACCGAAACUGUCUUGAUUGCCACCCAGCCUGGCACACAGCAAGUAGAAACACCAGAAGUGAGGCCUCAUAUAGGUGUGGUGUUCUCUCCCCUGGGGAUGGGGAGCAGGGCUGCUUUCCAGAACUGACUGGAAACCCUCUGCUCCUCCAUCCUCUGACGGCCCAAAACUCCCCCAGGCUCCUGGCAGCUCUAGGCAAUAUCAAGCCUCCUAGAGAGGAUGCCUGGAGCCACUAGCCUCUCAAGACUUGAGUUUCUGUUUUGUU